rnacentral:rRNA from 1 species
AGAGUUUGAUCAUGGCUCAGAUUGAACGCUGGCGGCAUGCCUUACACAUGCAAGUCGAACGGUAACAGGUUAAGCUGACGAGUGGCGAACGGGUGAGUAAUAUAUCGGAACGUGCCCAGUCGUGGGGGAUAACGCAGCGAAAGCUGUGCUAAUACCGCAUACGAUCUACGGAUGAAAGCGGGGGAUCGCAAGACCUCGCGCGAUUGGAGCGGCCGAUAUCAGAUUAGCUAGUUGGUGGGGUAAAAGCCCACCAAGGCGACGAUCUGUAGCUGGUCUGAGAGGACGACCAGCCACACUGGAACUGAGACACGGUCCAGACUCCUACGGGAGGCAGCAGUGGGGAAUUUUGGACAAUGGGCGCAAGCCUGAUCCAGCAAUGCCGCGUGCAGGAUGAAGGCCUUCGGGUUGUAAACUGCUUUUGUACGGAACGAAACGGUUCUUUCUAAUACAAGGGGCUAAUGACGGUACCGUAAGAAUAAGCACCGGCUAACUACGUGCCAGCAGCCGCGGUAAUACGUAGGGUGCGAGCGUUAAUCGGAAUUACUGGGCGUAAAGCGUGCGCAGGCGGUUAUAUAAGACAGAUGUGAAAUCCCCGGGCUCAACCUGGGACCUGCAUAUGUGACUGUAUAGCUAGAGUACGGUAGAGGGGGAUGGAAUUCCGCGUGUAGCAGUGAAAUGCGUAGAUAUGCGGAGGAACACCGAUGGCGAAGGCAAUCCCCUGGACCUGUACUGACGCUCAUGCACGAAAGCGUGGGGAGCAAACAGGAUUAGAUACCCUGGUAGUCCACGCCCUAACGAUGUCAACUGGUUGUUGGGGUCUUCACUGACUCAGUAACGAAGCUAACGCGUGAAGUUGACCGCCU